rnacentral:rRNA from 1 species
ACUCCUACGGGAGGCAGCAGUAGGGAAUCUUCCACAAUGGGCGCAAGCCUGAUGGAGCAACACCGCGUGAGUGAAGAAGGGUUUCGGCUCGUAAAGCUCUGUUGUUAAAGAAGAACACGUAUGAGAGUAACUGUUCAUACGUUGACGGUAUUUAACCAGAAAGUCACGGCUAACUACGUGCCAGCAGCCGCGGUAAUACGUAGGUGGCAAGCGUUAUCCGGAUUUAUUGGGCGUAAAGAGAGUGCAGGCGGUUUUCUAAGUCUGAUGUGAAAGCCUUCGGCUUAACCGGAGAAGUGCAUCGGAAACUGGAUAACUUGAGUGCAGAAGAGGGUAGUGGAACUCCAUGUGUAGCGGUGGAAUGCGUAGAUAUAUGGAAGAACACCAGUGGCGAAGGCGGCUACCUGGUCUGCAACUGACGCUGAGACUCGAAAGCAUGGUAGCGAACAGGA